GCCAGCAGCCGCGGUAAUUCCAGCUCCAAUAGCGUAUAUUAAAGUUGUUGCAGUUAAAAAGCUCGUAGUUAAUUUUCUGUUAAUUUUUAUAUACAAUGCUACGGUAUUUAUAUAAUAUUAACAUAAUUCAUAUUACUUUUUAGUAUAUGAAACUUUACUUUGAGAAAAUUAGAGUGCUUAAAGCAGGCUAUUGCCUUGAAUACUCCAGCAUGGAAUAAUAUUAAGGAUUUUUAUUCUUCUUAUUGGUUCUAGAAUAAAAAUAAUGAUUAAUAGGGACAGUUGGGGGCAUUUGUAUUUAACAGUCAGAGGUGAAAUUCUUAGAUUUGUUAAAGACAAACUACUGCGAAAGCAUUUGCCAAGGAUGUUUUCAUUAAUCAAGAACGAAAGUUAGGGGAUCGAAGACGAUCAGAUACCGUCGUAGUCUUAACCAUAAACUAUGCCAACUAGAGAUUGGAGGUUGUUCCU
rnacentral:rRNA from 1 species